GCAUUAAUGGGGUAGUGGUAACCUGGGUCGUUGCCAUUCGAGUAGUAACUACUAACUCGACCCGCCGGGGGUUCGAUUCCCUCUUAAUGCA